UACGGGGGGGGUAAGCGUUGUUCGGAAUUACUGGGCGUAAAGGGCUCGUAGGCGGCCAACUAAGUCAGACGUGAAAUCCCUCAGCUUAACUGGGGAACUGCGUCUGAUACUGGAUGGCUUGGAUUCGGGAGAGGAAUGCGGAAUUCCAGGUGUAGCGGUGAAAUGCGCAGAUAUCAGGAGGAACACCGAUGGCGAAGGCAGUUCUCUGGGCCGUAACUGACGCUGAGGAGCGAAAGCGUGGGGAGCGAACAGG
rnacentral:rRNA from 1 species